UGACCACUUUAUUCCCCUUACACCAUACAAUAUAAUAUUCCCACUAUCUACAAUCCAACGGCACACCACACUAACCAAAGCACAAUUCCCCCACAAUCCAUUUCCCCCUUUUACAAGUAUACAACAAAACCCCACUAACUUAUUCAAUUAUCAUUCCCACAACAACAACAACAACCGACACACUCAUUUCAGCCCACUCUUUUCUCCAAAUUUAAUUCCUACGUCAGCCAAACAAAUGAUCCCAAAGAGCGUACAUCUACAGUGCAACAUAUACUCCUUCAGCAUACACACCCGCGUACAAAACCACACGCACUCGCACACUAUUUCGUCUUCUUCCUCGACAGGAACAAUGAACCCCGACGACAUUUCAAAUCUGCCGUCCAAACGUAAUAUCUUCCUCUCGAGUCCUCAAUUAUUGACUUUGAAUUAGAAAAAUAUCCCUCAAUUCUAAUCCGAAUUCGAGAAUGUGAAGAUCAAAUCCGGAUUUUCAAGGUUCUUUUUAUCAUUUUUGGGUGAGUUUGAAGUGAAAUCACUCUCCGUUCGUCGUCUCCACUUUACUGUUCUGGAAGAGGUAAUAUCUCCUCCUUUUAGUUCAGUAUAUUUUUAUUUUUUGGUUGUAGAGUUGAAUCUCUCAAUAUAGUAGUGUUGUUCGUGUUUAAGAUUUCAUAGUAAGGAUAUGAUUUUGCUUGCUGGAAGAUGUCUUAUUAUUUCUCUUGACUAUUUGGUGUCUCUGUUUGUACAUUAAGUGGUCCCUAUAUUCAAAUAUUUGCUGUUAUGUUUCUUUGAAAAAUAAUUUCAUAAUUAAUUGCCUGUCUAAGACGCCAAGCUUUGAUCCUAAACGUUUAUUCUGUAAUUUCUAUGUGUGUGUUCUUCCCUGGUUCAUUUUUUAAAAUUCUACUUUUCAUUUUAUUAGCUUGUCUCUUUGUACUGAAUUUUUUUUAUUUCUGUUUAUUGUUUAAAUCGUGAUAAGACUAAUAAGCAUUAUCGUGAAUUGGUUUGCAAUGCUUUACCCAUGCCCUCACAGCCAUAUAUUUGAGAACUAUAUAAAAUGAGCUUAAAAUGAGCAUUCUAGUGAAACCUUCAAAUUAUGCAUUAAAUGAAAAUUAUUGUUUAAAUUUUACUAGCUUUUUUUGUUCUUGUUUAUUUUAUAUAUUAUUUGUUAACGGAAAGUUUGGGACAAAGAUUUUGUUUUGGACAUUGACUUGAUAUAAUAUAUGGUGAAUGCAUGUCAUUUGAAUAAAAUGAUAUAUUAUGGGAACUCCGGUUGUUAGUCUAGUUCUUUGGUUCAUUUUAUUCUACUUUAUUUUAUUUUUAUUUUUAUUUAUUUUUGCUUACGACUCAAUAUUAAUUACUGCACAUGUUUGAUGUAUGUAAAGUUUGUCUCUCCAAUCUCUUUUUUGCUAAAAAUGGCUUCGUUCGAGUUCUUUAUCCAUGAUUAUCUAAUAUGUGAAAGAAUUUAAUAUUGUUUCACUAACUAACUUAUAAAUUGUUUUCUUGUAUUGAAGCAGUAUCUUCCUUAACUCCAGUUUUAAUGCAUGUUUUAUGAUUGGUUGACAUACCAAUUUAAAUUCAGUCUUUAUUCAAGUAUAUUGUUAGAAUGUCGGCUACACAUUUGAGACAUCUCUCUGUUGAAUAAGUCGGGGAUAAAAAAUGCACUAGCAAAUUUAGAUUAGGUUGAAUUGUAAUUUAUAUUUGUUUGAUGAAUUAACAAGUCAUGCCAUUUAUAUUUGUAUUUUAUAUAUGUAUCAACUGUCAAUAAUGUGUCAUUGUGUGCUUUUCUCUAAUCCUUAUCAUUUUUAAUUUUUUCAUGUGACAUCAAUCUGAGUCCAUUUUUGAACUCUACCAUUGUCGUUGAGUUUCGAGCCAAUUCCAUCUUGUUCAAAUUACUGAGAAGCUAAUACAGGAUUAGGGAAGCAAGUAUACAUGUCGCAAAAGACAAAAAGGGAAUGAUAUACAGUCAAUAUACAAUUAAUAUACACAGUACGAGAAUUGGGAUAAAGCCCAAAAGCAACAACGAAUUUGGCCCAAAAAGGGGCCCAAAUUCAUUAUCUCUUUGUUCUUUUAAUUAUUUUUAUUAUAAAUAUUUGACUAAUUAUAGUUAACUCUAACUUUAAAUAUUUUAAAUAACUUA